GCCCCUGUAGUGUAGUCCGGCUAAACUCUUUUUCGAGAAAUUGAAAAGAGGGCAAUUCAUCUGAGCCUCUCGAGCUUGGGACUCGGGUUCAAAUCCCGACGGGGGCA
rnacentral:tRNA from 1 species